UGAUUUUGUUUUGUGUUUAAUUCGCGAUGAGUUCACAAAAAGAAAACACAAGAAUCUGCUGCUUGUGUGGAUCUUCACCUUCUAAAGAUCCCAGCAUCACUUUGCAUCGGUUUCCAAAGCCUGGCACUAAAAAUGCUCUGCGUUGUGAAUUAUGGGCAAAGUAUUGCUUCCCAAACGAAGCCUGGUCUUCACCAAAAUUCCAGGACGACUCCAUAAACAACAUAAGAUGCUAUGCAGCAAACAUUUCAAAAGCACAUGCUUUAAUGAGAAGAAGUUGUUCAGAACAGCUGUACCUGAUGUUUGUAAAUAUCAAAAUAUAAUUGGUCUAGUGUCUUUCUCUUCCUAAUCAUUUCUAUAAUAAAGAAGAAAUAACACCAACGUUUAUUACACAAUAUGAUAGAAUAAUUUAAACCAUGUCUGUAAACUUGUUGUUUGUUAAACAAAUCGAUAGUAUUCUUUAUUGUAUAAUAACAUAGUCUUGUUUUUUAUAAUAGUAACACUUUAAAACUAACUAGAAUUUUUGUUUGUUUAUGUUUUGAUGUUGAAAUUGUAUGCAAUAGGCCCAUCCAUACUUGUUAUUUUGGACGAAAAUGUCUGAAAUACCUACCUAAAUUGAUUAAAUUCAUGUAUUUUAAAAUUCAUUACAUAGGUGCACAUACUUGUGAUUUAUGAACACCUUUUGUACCCUAUUUCUGGAAAUAAAUUAUAAUUAUUAACAUGCUAAAUAAAAAACUCUUGUACUGUAA